AGAUAAGAAGAAUGACAUUUGACUGCUAGAUAUUACAAGCUGGGUGAGCAGGACUGAGACAGAACCACAUGUCUGUACACCAUGGGCGGAACGGGUUCUGUCAGAGACCUUGAACUGGAAUUACACUCAGACGUCAGUGCUUUGCGGUGGUAGGACCCACUCCCAGAGGUUCACACCCAAGCUGCUUUUUGAAAUCCUAAGGACGUGGCAUAGAAGGAAAGCAUGCCUUUGGGGUUCUGAGGUUUCACCCACUAUGGAUGAGCUGAUUCCAUGCCGGUGUUGCCAACUGAAGCAUCAGGAGAAUAUGGAAUAUUGGGAACAGCAGAUCAACUGUCAGAAGCUCUGUACUCGGUAUAGUUUAUUUUCACCUGAAGUAUACAAGACGACUCAAGGAGUAUCACAAGCAUUUCAUAUCAUGAAACAUUUUUAAAGCACAAUCAGAGAAGCCUGAGCCCCUGGGACAUAUCUGGGAACCUGCUCUAGCUGAAUCUUUAUCCUGAUCUUCCCUCUCUGAAGAUGCAGCAGGUGGAGCACAACCAGCUCGGUGUGACGAGAGACCUAGAAGAGGAUGGUAAGGACCCAAAUGCUGGAGUACAGCGACUAGAAUCAAGACACAAUUUGAGAGUGAGAUGAGGACGGGGUUCUAAACUAGAUGCUAGAUGAAAAUCCAAAGUAGAUCUGAUGAUUGAACACCAAACUGCAGUUCAGAUGCUCUUUAAAUAUUAAAAUCCUGGUGCCAAAACAUGGCUGCCAAUUAGCAGGGCAGGCUCGAGUCUUUAAAGGGGUUGUGUCAACUAUCCAUUUUCCAGAGUCGGAUCGUCUAAACCCUGGAAGCUAAUACAGUCGAGUGACUAACCCAGGGUUACCUGGGAAGAAGUUACAAAAGCCUGAAAGCAUGUACAACCAGGCUCAAAGACGACUUCUACACAGCUGUAAUAAUAUUAUUAAAUAGUUCCCCCGUAUGAUAAAGUUGGACUCUUGACCUCACAGUUGACCUCAUUAUGAUCUUGAACUUUAUUGUUUACCUGCACUGCAUUUUCUCUGUAGUUGUCUCACUUAAUUGUUAUUGUUUUACUUUAU